rnacentral:rRNA from 1 species
GACGAACGCUGGCGGCGUGCUUAACACAUGCAAGUCGAACGGAAAGGCCUGUCCUUCCUUGUGUUGGACGGGUACUCGAGUGGCGAACGGGUGAGUAACACGUGAGUGAUCUGCCCCCAACUUGGGUAUAAGCCUGGGAAACUGGGUCUAAUUCCCGAUAGGACUGCAGGGUGGUGCCUGUGGUGGAAAACGAUUUUCUAGUGGUUGGGGAUGAGCUCGCGGCCUAUCAGCUUGUUGGUGGGGUAAUGGCCUACCAAGGCGGCGACGGGUAGUCGGCCUGAGAGGGUGGACGGCCACAUUGGGACUGAGAUACGGCCCAGACUCCUACGGGAGGCAGCAGUGGGGAAUAUUGCACAAUGGGCGGAAGCCUGAUGCAGCGACGCCGCGUGGGGGAUGACGGCCUUCGGGUUGUAAACUCCUUUCGACCGCGAGGAAGCCGCCUGGUUGGAAGGGUGGUGACGGUAGUGGUAGAAGAAGCACCGGCUAACUACGUG